GCGGCUCGAUUGACUUUUAGUUUCGUUUCGAGCCUCGACGUUGGCGGUUGUGCGACUGCUGUAUUCGUGAUCUAAAAAAGUGAAUUUAUUUGAGCCAUGCUGCGUGCCAGUCUUGGACUGCUUCUCCUGUGGGCGGUGGUCGCCCUGGGAAACGACAAUCUACGCGUGGCCUACGAGUGGCGGGAAAUGGACUUCAAGUACGCCAGUCCGGACCAGAGAUGGUCGGCCAUCGAGCGGGGCGAGUUCAAGCCGGCCAAUGUAAUACCCUUUGGCCUGGAGGUCGCCGGCCACCGACUCUUUGUCACUUUGCCCAGAUGGCGGGCCGGAGUGCCGGCCUCGUUGGCCUACCUUGAUCUUAAUGAUACUUCCAGCAAGGGUCCCGCCUUGAAGCCUUUCCCCAGCUGGCAGGCUCACAAUCUGCAAGAUGUCGAACCGGAGUUGGUUUCUCCAUUCCGGGUGCGAGCCGAUCGCUGCGGACGCCUCUGGGUGCUGGAUUCUCGGAUCUCGGGUGUUCUGGAGCAGACCAAGAUCUACGGAGCAGCCCAGCUGCUGGUCUACGAUCUGCACAAUGAUGAUCUGCUGCGACGUCACGUUCUUCCCGCCGAUCAAUUGAAGCAGGUAUCUUUAUUGGCCAAUCUAGCGGUGGAGGACUCUGAUUGUGAAAACACCUACGCAUAUGCCGCCGAUUUGGGCAGUCCUGGUUUGGUGGUGUACUCGUGGAAGGACCAGGAAUCGUGGCGUGUGCAGCAUCAUUUCUUCCACCCGGAUCCGAUGGCUGGCAACUUCAGCAUCAAUGGCAUUGAGUUCCAGUGGGAUGAUGGUCUAUAUGGCCUGGCAUUGUCGAAACCCUUGGAAACGGGCUAUUCCACACUGUACUUCCAUCCGCUCUGCUCCACCGCGGAGUUCUCGGUGGACACGGGGAUACUGCGAAACAAAACCCUGGCCACCUCGUCGAUGAUCUAUCGGGAGUUCAAGGUGCUGGGAUCGAGGGGACCGAACACUCAGGCAGGAGCCGAGUUUUUGGAUCCCGAGACCGGUGUCCUUUUCUACGCCCUGCCCAAUCUGAAUGAAGUCGCCUGCUGGCGCACAGCCACCGACUUUAGCCACAGUUCUCAGAGUCGCAUCUUCAUGAGCAACGAGACCUUGAUUUUCCCCAGUGACGUCAAGGUGGAUGACCAGAAGCGUCUAUGGGUCCUUUCCAAUCAGUUACCCGUCUUCAUCUACGAUGAAUUGUACCCCGGUUCCAUUAAUUUCCGCAUUCUAACUGCCAGUGUUCAGGAGGCUAUUAAGAACACGGCUUGUGAAAUUAGAACAUCCCCUCUGCCGGAUGUGAUCAACAGGCUUGGGGAUAUACUAAACACUAACAUUAAGGUGAAGACAAAUUCAGCUGCUUCUUUGAGUAACUUGAGCUCCCUGAUAUUUGCUGGCUUGUGUUUGCUGAUGAGCUUUAGGAUCUAGAUUCCCAGUGCUGUACAAAAGUAUCAAACCCACUCGAAAAAAAUAUUUUCGUAAAUGCUGGAACUCAAACAAUUUUUUAAAACGCCUAGGUAACGAAAUUCUAAGGAAUAUUUGAAAACAUCAUCAAAAACGGGCCGUUUUAAAAACUUUUCUGAUUUCUAAAUUGUACGAAAUAUUUUUAUUUGAGUGAUCUGUAUUAUGUUAAGUUUAAGGUUAAAAAAACUGUAACGCUGUUCGUAAUGUUGAUUAAAUCAAUGGCUAUAUCGAUGGUUUCAUCGCUGGUUUGGGACUGACCAUCCUCGGAACUGGCGGCCAAUUUGUCCUGCUCCUUCUGCUGCAUCCUCUUAAUGAAUCCGCCACAGAAAAAGAGUGUCAUCUAAAAUGGCAUGGUGUACAAAAUACUAUUUAGUUGAAAAUGAUGCCUUGUCAUACGUGUUCUAGUAUUCCAAUCAAUCCCAAUACAGACAGACCCAGCAGAAAACCAAGGGAACCACCCACAUCCGCUAUAAAUUGGGUGGUAUCAUAGCUGGGACGCUCUUCAAUCAUCUGCAAAUGGUGACAUGUUCAGUGAAAGUGCCAUGCAUCAAGUUAAAUUCCUACCGAUAUCAGUUUGGUUGUGUAGUAUAUAUAG